rnacentral:rRNA from 1 species
CCCUUAGACGUUCUGGGCCGCACGCGCGCUACACUGACCAGUGCAACAAGCAUCCGUCCUUGGCCGACAGGCCCGGGCAAUCUUUGAAAGCUGGUCGUGAUGGGGAUAGACUUUUGCAAUUUUUGGUCUUCAACGAGGAAUUCCUAGUAAACGCAAGUCAUCAACUUGCAUUGAUUACGUCCCUGCCCUUUGUACACACCGCCCGUCGCACCUACCGAUUGAAUGGUCCGGUGAAGCCUCCGGAUUGGCGCGCACCUCGGUGCCGCCGAGAAGUUGGCUAAACCUUACCAUUUAGAGGAAGGUGAAGUCGUAACA